UACGGAGGGUGCAAGCGUUAUCCGGAUUUACUGGGUUUAAAGGGUGUGUAGGCGGGCUUUUAAGUCAGUGGUGAAAUCUCCGAGCUCAACUUGGAAACUGCCAUUGAUACUAUUAGUCUUGAAUUCUGUUGAGGUAGGCGGAAUAAGUCAUGUAGCGGUGAAAUGCUUAGAUAUGACUUAGAACACCGAUUGCGAAGGCAGCUUACUAAACAGACAUUGACGCUGAGGCACGAAAGCGUGGGGAUCAAACAGG
rnacentral:rRNA from 1 species